rnacentral:rRNA from 1 species
GGCCUACCAAGGCGACGACGGGUAGCCGGCCUGAGAGGGCGACCGGCCACACUGGGACUGAGACACGGCCCAGACUCCUACGGGAGGCAGCAGUGGGGAAUAUUGCACAAUGGGCGAAAGCCUGAUGCAGCGACGCCGCGUGAGGGAUGACGGCCUUCGGGUUGUAAACCUCUUUCAGCAGGGAAGAAGCGAAAGUGACGGUACCUGCAGAAGAAGCGCCGGCUAACUACGUGCCAGCAGCCGCGGUAAUACGUAGGGCGCAAGCGUUGUCCGGAAUUAUUGGGCGUAAAGAGCUCGUAGGCGGCUUGUCACGUCGGAUGUGAAAGCUCGGGGCUUAACCCCGAGUCUGCAUUCGAUACGGGCUAGCUAGAGUGUGGUAGGGGAGAUCGGAAUUCCUGGUGUAGCGGUGAAAUGCGCAGAUAUCAGGAGGAACACCGGUGGCGAAGGCGGAUCUCUGGGCCAUUACUGACGCUGAGGAGCGAAAGCGUGGGGAGCGAACAGGAUUAGAUACCCUGGUAGUCCACGCCGUAAACGUUGGGAACUAGGUGUUGGCGACAUUCCACGUGUCGUCGAGAUGCGGCAGUUAGACGCAUUAAC